rnacentral:rRNA from 1 species
GACGAACGCUGGCGGCGUGCUUAACACAUGCAAGUCGAACGCUGAAGCUUGGUGCUUGCACUGGGUGGAUGAGUGGCGAACGGGUGAGUAAUACGUGAGUAACCUGCCCUUGACUCUGGGAUAAGCCUGGGAAACUGGGUCUAAUACUGGAUACGACAUGCCACUGCAUGGUGGUGUGUGGAAAGGGUUUUACUGGUUUUGGAUGGGCUCACGGCCUAUCAGCUUGUUGGUGGGGUAAUGGCCUACCAAGGCGACGACGGGUAGCCGGCCUGAGAGGGUGACCGGCCACACUGGGACUGAGACACGGCCCAGACUCCUACGGGAGGCAGCAGUGGGGAAUAUUGCACAAUGGGCGGAAGCCUGAUGCAGCGACGCCGCGUGAGGGAUGACGGCCUUCGGGUUGUAAACCCCUUUCAGCACGGAAGAAGCGAGAGUGACGGUACGUGCAGAAGAAGCGCCGGCUAACUACGUG